rnacentral:tmRNA from 1 species
GGGGGUGACAAGGUUUCGACGGGGGUCGGAAGCACAGGUUGCAUGUCGGGGAGGCCGGUUGGCCCCGUUAUCAAUCCGGUAAACAAUAAACGCCGACAACGACGUUUCGUACGCACUGGCCGCUUAAUUGCGGCCGCAUCUCCUGAUCCCUCGCCUGCGGGGAUCUUGAGAUGUCAUUCAGCAGGCUGGUUCAGAAGGUCGUUCCGUGCCGCCUGAACGAGAACAAAGCGGAAUCGCCUCGCAAAAAUCCUGUCCAUGGGAGUUUCCAGAGGUUAAAUCCAAAACGUGGACUAAACAUGUAGACGCUUGAUGUGGAACACUUUCGGACGCGGGUUCGAUUCCCGCCACCUCCACCA